GUGGGAGGGGGCUUGCCCCCGAUAGCAGUGUGUCAGUCAGCAUAUAUCUGUCUGACAAACCGCUAUCGGGGGCAAGCCCCCUCCCAC
rnacentral:misc_RNA from 1 species